rnacentral:rRNA from 1 species
UACGUAGGUGGCAAGCGUUACUCGGAAUCACCAGGCGUAAAGCGCAGGUAGGUGGCUUGAUAAGUCUAUUGUGAAAGCUCCCGGCUCAACUGGGAGAGGUCAAUGGAUACUGUUAGGCUUGAGUGUGGUAGGGGAAGCUGGAAUUCCUGGUGUAGCGGUGAAAUGCGUAGAUAUCAGGAGGAACACCUAAGGCGAAAGCAGGCUUCUGGGCCAACACUGACACUGAGCUGCGAAAGCUAGGGGAGCAAACAGG